GAUGAACGCUAGCGGCAGGCCUAAUACAUGCAAGUCGGACGGGAUUGGGGAGCUUGCCUUCCAUGAGAGUGGCGCACGGGUGCGUAACACGUAUGUAACCUACCUUGUUCAGGGGGAUAGCCUCUCGAAAGAGAGAUUAAGACCGCAUAACAUUGCGAUGUGGCAUCACAUUGUAAUCAAAUAUUUAUAGGAACAAGAUGGGCAUGCGGAACAUUAGCUAGUUGGUAAGGUAACGGCUUACCAAGGCUACGAUGUUUAGGGGAUCUGAGAGGAUGACCCCCCACACUGGUACUGAGACACGGACCAGACUCCUACGGGAGGCAGCAGUAAGGAAUAUUGGUCAAUGGGCGGAAGCCUGAACCAGCCAUGCCGCGUGCAGGAAGACGGCCCUAUGGGUUGUAAACUGCUUUUGCAGGGGAAUAAACCUUGGUACGUGUACCAAGCUGAAUGUACUCUGAGAAUAAGGAUCGGCUAACUCCGUGCCAGCAGCCGCCGUAA
rnacentral:rRNA from 1 species